GAAAGAAGCAUAUGCGGUCAUAAAAUUACAUCUUUUAAAAAAUUCGGAUGCAUGGUUGGGUCAACAUACUUCAUCAUUGUAAUAGCUAAUUUUUAUCCGGGCCUAAAACCAAUUAAAAGUCCAUUUAAAAUAAUCCAAAUCUCCAUUCACAACAUUACAAGCCCAAAUUACAAAUUAUGACCCAAUGGCCUAAAGAAAAAUUAACCCUAACCCAACAAGCCCAAAACUAAACAAGCCCACAAAUUAAAAAUUUUCAGCCAAACAAAAAAAGCAGAAACCCUAAUGCAGCCGCUACCCUCCAGCCUACGCGUGGCCUCCUCGCAUGCCCACCGCCACAUGCCACCGCCCCUCUACGUGUCUGACGUCUUUCUGAUACCGCCUGCAACACGCAAGCACAAUAAGACAACAGAAGCAAACAACGUAAACAAACAAUAACAAUAGAAAUAGAGAGUUGUUCAAAUUGGCUAUAAAAGCCCGAACUUUAUCUUUAUAUUUUUUCUGAGACGAGUAAUAAAAAAAUACAGAUUCUCAAACUAUCGAAGGUGAUUUUUCAUUGCUUAGUUAUUAUAGAUCUAUUUUAGAAUAAAUAAACAAAAGAGAAAUAAAAGAAAAGGGUUUUGAAAUUUAGCCGUCCCUCGCGGUGCGUCGCCGUUGGAGGCUUCCUCCUUUCGACCGAAUCGUGGAAACCCUUAGGGUUUCGUUCGGAGCUUUGCUAGGAGGGGAAACGACGGGGCCGAAAGGCCAUUUUCUUUUUUUCCCUUCCACUUUAGUUCAAAAAAUACCCAAAUCGGGUUUGUGCUUAAAAGGAAACUUUAAAAAAAAAAAAGAGGGGAUUUUGGGGACGUUUUUUGCCCUUCCGACACUGUGGCGCUACGACGGAGCCGCGGCGGAGCCUCCGUGAGUGCUCACCGGCGUCUUCGCCAGUCUUGAAGGACGAGAGAGAGAGAGCUAGAAGGCUCUCUGUGUUUUUUUUUUAAAAUAAGGUUAAACUUUCUUUUUUUUUUUUGGCAUUUAUAUGGGGUAAAAUACGGCGUCGUUUGAGUCUUAGCAAAUGGCCAAAACAACGUCGUUUUGUGUCUAACCUGCGACCCGACCCAGUGGCGCUGAGGAUCAACGUGUUUUGUUGGGAGGAGCUAAUUGCAUGUUUAGCCCCUCCUCUUCUGCGGUAAAGUGCAAUAGAGCCUUCACCCUUUUUAUAUUUUUAACCGCGGCAAUUUUGAAUCCGUUUCAAUUAGGUCCCGCACAAAACGACGCGCUUUAAGGGUCGAGGAUUAAUUUCCCACUUGACCCCCACGCCUUUGCAUGCGUUUCAAUUGACCCCAGAUUUCUCUUUUCGAUCCAAUUUUCACCCACUGACUUUAUUUUAAUUCCAAUUCGGUCCCCAAUUGAUUUAAAUUCAAAUUUUAUUCUUUUUUUAAAAAAAGGGCAAAAACCGUUAUUAAAUAUUUUAUUUAAUAUUUCGUUUAAUUAUUUGUUUUCAUUUUAUUUAUAGUUCAUUUGUUUUAUGUAUAUUGAUUUGUGCAUAUUAUUUGUGUUUUUAUUUUUACUAUCUAUUUAUUUUUUUAAUUUCAAAUACUUCCAAUAUUUAGAUUCAUUAGUUAGUAUAUGCAUUGUCGUUGUUAUAUUCGUAUUGUUGUAUUUGUUAUUUGUAUUACUAUUAUUCAUGCAUGUUGACACUAGAACUUAAAUAUCAAAAUAUUCGUACUUCAUUAUGCGUAUUAUGCCACGAUUAUGUAAAUGCAUGUUGUAUUAUUAUUAAUAGCCAUGUAUAAUUCCUUUUGCUUUCUUUGAAAGCAUAACGAAUCAAACGUGUACCUCUUAAACAUUUUGUUCAUUCUUACUCAAAUUCAAC
rnacentral:lncRNA from 1 species